CAGCCCUAAACGAUGCGCGUUAGGUGUAUCGGUGACCACGAGUCACCGAGGUGCCGAAGGGAAACCGUGAAACGUGCCGCCUGGGAAGUACGGUCGCAAGGCUGAAACUUAAAGGAAUUGGCGGGGGAGCACCACAAGGGGUGAAGCUUGCGGUUUAAUUGGAGUCAACGCCGGAAAUCUCACCGGGAGCGACAGCAGUGUGAUAGCCAGAUUAAAGGUCUUGCUAGACGAGCUGAGAGGAGGUGCAUGGCGUAGUCGUGU
rnacentral:rRNA from 1 species